rnacentral:rRNA from 1 species
GGGCCAGACUCCUACGGGAGGCAGCAGUGAGGAAUAUUGGUCAAUGGCCGAGAGGCUGAACCAGCCAAGUCGCGUGAGGGAAGAAUGUCCUAAGGAUUGUAAACCUCUUUUGUCGGGGAGCAAAAAGGCUCUGCGGAGUCGUAUUGAGAGUACCCGAAGAAAAAGCAUCGGCUAACUCCGUGCCAGCAGCCGCGGUAAUACGGAGGAUGCGAGCGUUAUCCGGAUUUAUUGGGUUUAAAGGGUGCGCAGGCGGCGUGUCAAGCAAGCGGAAAAAUGGCGGGGCUCAACCCGGGCCUGCCGUUGAAACUGGCGGCCUCGAGUGGGCGAGAAGUAUGCGGAAUGCGUGGUGUAGCGGUGAAAUGCAUAGAUAUCACGCAGAACUCCGAUUGCGAAGGCAGCAUACCGGCGCCCGACUGACGCUGAGGCACGAAAGCGUGAGUAUCGAACAGGAUUAGAUACCCUUGUA